rnacentral:rRNA from 1 species
GAUGAACGCUAGCGGCAGGCCUAAUACAUGCAAGUCGAACGGUGUCUUCGGACAUAGUGGCGCACGGGUGCGUAACACGUAUGCAACCUACCUUACAUUGGGGGAUAGCCUUUCGAAAGGGAGAUUAAUACCGCAUAAGACAAUAGCUGGGCAUCCAGCAGCUGUUAAAGAUUUAUCGAUGUAAGCUGGGCAUGCGUCCAAUUAGCUAGUUGGUGAGGUAACGGCUCACCAAGGCAAUGAUUGGUAGGGGAACUGAGAGGUCAAUCCCCCACACUGGCACUGAGAUACGGGCCAGACUCCUACGGGAGGCAGCAGUAGGGAAUAUUGGGCAAUGGACGCAAGUCUGACCCAGCCAUGCCGCGUGCAGGAUGAAGGCGCUCUGCGUUGUAAACUGCUUUUACUCGGGAAAAAACCCCUGCAUUCUUGCGGGGCUGAUUGUACCGAGAGAAUAAGGGACGGCUAACUUCGUGCCAGCAGCCGCCGUAAUAC